rnacentral:rRNA from 1 species
AGUACGAGAGGACCGGGAUGGACAUACCUCUGGUGUACCAGUAGUCGUGCCAACGGCAUAGCUGGGUAGCUAUGUAGGGACGGUAUAAGUGCUGAAAGCAUCUAAGCAUGAAGCCCCCCUCAAGAUGAGAUUUCCCAACUUCGGUUAUAAGAUCCCUCGAAGAUGACGAGGUUAAUAGGUUCGAGGUGGAAGCGUGGUGACACGUGGAGCUGACGAAUACUAAUCGAUCGAAGACUUAAUCAAUUU